rnacentral:rRNA from 1 species
UACAGAGGGUGCAAGCGUUAAUCGGAGUUACUGGGCGUAAAGGGCACGUAGGUGGUUAUAUAAGUCAGUUGUGAAAUCCCCGGGCUUAACCUGGGAACUGCAGCUGAUACUGUGUGACUAGAGUCGAAGAGAGGGAAGCGGAAUUUCCGGUGUAGCGGUGAAAUGCGUAGAUAUCGGAAGGAACAUCUGUGGCGAAGGCGGCUUCCUGGAUUCAGACUGACACUGAGGUGCGAAAGCGUGGGUAGCGAACAGG